CACCCCACAGUGGGCCCCAGCUACUCUCACCACACCCGCUGUACAGGAGCCAGGCCCCAGGCAUCCCAGAGCACGCAGGCGACUCUCCCAUCUCUCUGGCACUCAGUCCCUGGGGAAACCAGCUCCCAGAACUGACAGCUCCCCACCCCCCACCCAGCCUGGCUGCAGUCCUGUCCAGGCUGAGAUGGCUGCCAGUGGAAGUGGCUCAGCUCCUGUCAGGCCAGCCCAACUUCUUUCUCUUCCUGCAUCUCCAUCACCAAACACCUGAAAUAGCAGCAGCUCCAGGAGGCCACUUGCCCCAAGAAGCCCUCCCUGAUUGGAUGGAAACUUCCCUAAAGGAGCUUCAAGCAACCAGUCUAAACUGUGCUGACAAGCAGACCGUAGCAGAAGGGAUUCAGGGAAGACUUGGAUGGAAGCCUUUAGAACUGAGAGGCCAGCCUGCUGGACACAGGUGGCCUAGCAAACAGCCAGCCCCAGCUGUCAGCCAUGAGGGUGAAGCCAUCCCAGACCAUCUAGCCUCAGUUCAGCCACUGGAAGACUACAGCUACAAGACAUAAGACCAGCAGGACUGCCCACCUGAGUCCAGCCUAAAUUUCUAGCCCACAGGACUGUGAGCAAGUAAAAUGGUUAUUGUUUUAA